rnacentral:rRNA from 1 species
UGGGUUCGAUUCGAGCUCGGAAUUAAUGCUAACUAGACACAUAACACAUGCAAGUUUGUUUUUAAAAAAUCUAUUUAUAGUACAUGUGUGUACUGUAGAUAAAUUUUUUAAAAAAGCGUUACGGUGAGUAAAAGUGAAUGUUGUCGAAUAGGUUAUGUAGACCAUAACAAAAUAUUUUUUAUAUUUUACUUUAUGUUAAAGUUGAUUUAUUUAAAAGUUUUAAUCUAUCUAUUGCAUAGAUAGUAUAUACCUGUUCGAUGUAUUCACCUAGGAUUAGAUUUUUACAACCCUCGUUGUAAAAUCAAAGAUCCUUAGUUGAGUUUAGCGAGGCGUCAGCCACAUAGGGUAUGAAAACGACCCUACCUAUCAAUUGGCAGCAGUGGGGUAAAUUGGACAAUGUACGAAAGUAUGAUCCAGUGAACUAGUGGAAAUGAAGAAGGCUAAGGCAGCUGUAAAGUUUGUGCGUUUAAGAGAAUAAUGAUUGUAAUUAAAAAGAGAAGCCAUGGCCAAUACAUGUGCCAGCAGCCGCGGUAAUACAUGAGUGGCAAGCAUUAUUCGUAAUUAUUGGGUGUAUAACAUACGUAGGCGGUCGUUAUAAUUAUAUUCUACUGGAUUAGAUAGUAGGUGUGAAUAUAAUUUUUACGAACUUGAAUUUUUAAGAGGUGGUUAACGCUGGGUAAUCAGGGGUAGAAUCCUCCGAGUUAUUCGGAAUUUUCAAAGAUGAAAAUAAAUCACCAUUAAAAAUUGACGCUGAUGUAUGAAAGUACAGGCAACGAGGCGGGCUAAAGAUCCGAGUAGUCUGUACCGUAAACUAUGAGUAUUAUUCUUUUUGCCGAUUUAAGGCAAGGGGAUUAGCUAACGUCUAGAAUACUCUACCUGGGUAGUACAGUCGCAAGAUUGAAACUCAAUGAAGUUGGCGGGAAUUUGUUCAGACGGUGGAACAUGUGGUUUAAUGCGAUAAUCCACGCAAAAUCUUACCAACACUAAUUGUGCGUCUACUAUUUUAUGUUUCUUCAUAAAAAUAUUUAGGCGCAGGUAGUAUUGCAUGGCUGUCGUCAGUUCGUGUCGUGAGAUGUAGGAUUAAGUUCCAUUACGAACGCAACCCCGAAAGUUUAUUUCAAUUUUACAAUGUUUUUUUUGUAAAAUUUGUAAACUUUUUUAUAUGAAUGUUGAAAAAUUCAUAUAAAGGGGAGGGCUGAAGUCAAGUCCUUAUGAUCUUUAUGUGUUGGGCUACACACGUGUUACAACAGCAAAAACAAAAAGUUACGAAAACGUGAGUUGGAGUUAAUCUUUAAAAAUUGCUGUAGUUCAGAUUAUUUUCUAAAAUUCGAAAAUAUGAAGACGAAAUCGUUAGUAAUCAUAAAAUAAUAUGUUAUGGUGAAUGUUAAGUCAAAUUCUGCACACACCGCCCAUCACGCUCGGAGACCUUGUCUGACAGGAAGGUAUCUUCUAUGCCCUGUAGUUGUACUUUUUAGGUAGGCAUAAGCACUUUUUUAGUGUUUAAUACAGCUUCGAAAUACCGAAUGUCAGGCUUUUAUCUG